rnacentral:lncRNA from 12 species
AUGAGCGGAGGAGGGGUCACCCCGGGGCAGCCCCUGCUCUGGGCCCCAGCUCGGACGCCCUACAGUCUCUCUCUCCUCGUCUCUGCCAUAGUUUACUUUUGGGUCCUAACCAGCUGGCACGGUGCAUACCUGGCACACAGGUCAAAUUCUUUUAUGCUGAUAACUGCAGUGGGAUACAACUGGGAAUGGACGAGUGUUUCCAGAACCCUGAUAAAAAUUCUACCAUCGUCAACCCAGCUUCCCCACCCAUGGAAGGAAGGAUUUCUUCUCGCUCGACCAAAAGCAAAAUCCAUCCGUGUGCUAAGUUAUCGAGGAAGUAGGGAGGAUGGAAGAGGCAAGGCAAACAGCCGGUGCUUGGAAGGUGGACAGGGUCUUCUUCUGAGAAGGGGCUGAAGGACAGCUUGCUGCGGACGCCGUGGGUGAGAAAAAGCGCGGAAGAGAAGACUGGGAGUGUCAGUGAGCGCAGCUGUGCACAAUGCCCGGAUUUCUUUCACUGUCCUCUAAGAUAUUUCAGUAAAGAAUGCAAUUUAUUUUUCAUCCCCGUGGCUGUGUGGACUGUUCCAUAAACGCGAUACCGACUCUGAGCCACGUGGGCUUGGAUAUAUUCGAUAUUGCAGGUGUUUC